rnacentral:lncRNA from 1 species
GUGCCAUAGGAACAACAUAUUAUUCAAACAAGAAAUGUUGGAUUUUGAUAAGGUGACCAAGUUGAUCAAAUUCAAGGCUUGGAGUUGGCUCAAUGCAAAGGUUAACAACUUUAAAUCAUCAUUUUUCGAUUGGUAUGUUUAGGAGGUUGGGCCACUUUUGAGGGCGACGGAAUGGUAAAAUGCGAGGGAUUGGUUUGGUACAGGUUCAAGCUGUGUAGUUAUUUACAAAGCAUUUUCUGUUAACGUGGUAUUCUGCAUAUACACAUGCAUGAGCAGCUGUUGCAUUGGGGGUUAUUACUAAGGUAGAUAUGCUCUGUCAUUAAUAGGUUGGGUGCAUUGAACCUGUUGGAUGAUGUGGAAACAUUUUUUUUUAUCCUUUGCUACCUCU